UACGUAGGUGACAAGCGUUGUCCGGAUUUACUGGGCGUAAAGAGCGCGCAGGCGGCGCGUUAAGACAGGUGUGAAAGCCCCGAGCUUAACUUGGGAAUUGCGCUUGUGACUGGCGUGCUGGAGUGUGGCAGAGGGAGGUGGAAUUCCACGUGUAGCAGUGAAAUGCGUAGAGAUGUGGAGGAACACCGAUGGCGAAGGCAGCCUCCUGGGCCAGCACUGACGCUCAUGCACGAAAGCGUGGGGAGCAAACAGG
rnacentral:rRNA from 1 species